CGCAUGUGAGACUGUUGACGCUGCCUGUCGCUUACCGAGGGAGUGCUGGACGUGGAAGCUGUCAAUCCUAACUCAGCAUGAAAUGUCCAGAAAAAAGCCUGGAGCCAUGGGAUUGUCCAAGAGCACAUCAAACCUAAGCAGUUGAAACCUUGCUGGAAUGCUUACACUGGUACUUGAUGUCCCUGAAGAAACUCCAAGAAACAAGACUGCAUGAGGACAUGGAGCUACUUCUCUAAGCUGGCCUGUGAUGUUCUGCAGCCUCCACUCUGUGAGGUUGGCAACAAAGACUCCGGGAUUGAACGAGCAUGUGUUGGCCCGCAUCCCAAGCUUUCUGAUUGUGUC